rnacentral:lncRNA from 1 species
GCAAAACCCUCUAAUCAACCCCCUCUCUCUCUCUUUCUCUCUCCCCGUCUCCUUCCUCUCCGCCUCUCCUCGCUCCUACUUUCCCAUGGCCCCCGAGCUCUCCGACCCAGGGAUCUCCUCCUCUGACGAUGCCCACGACGACAACGAGGAUGAGGUAGAGGAGGAGGAGGAGGAGGAGGAGGAAGAUGAGGAGGAGGAGGAGGAUGAGGA